rnacentral:rRNA from 1 species
UGCGUAGGCGGAAUAUUAAGUCAGUGGUGAAAUCCUGCGGCUCAACCGUAGAACUGCCAUUGAUACUGAUAUUCUUGAAUGUAGUUGAGGUAGGCGGAAUGUGUAAUGUAGCGGUGAAAUGCUUAGAUAUUACACAGAACACCGAUUGCGAAGGCAGCUUACUAAACUAUGAUUGACGCUGAUGUACGAAAGCGUGGGGAGCGAACAGGAUUAGAUACCCUGGUAGUCC